rnacentral:rRNA from 1 species
GUUUGGGAAUGCAGCUCAAAGUGGGUGGUAAAUUCCAUCUAAGGCUAAAUAUAAGUGAGAGACCGAUAGCAUACAAGUACCGUGAGGGAAAGAUGAAAAGAACUUUGAAAAUAGAGUUAACAGUACGUGAAAUUGCUGAAAGGGAAACGUUUGAAGUUAGUAUUGUAUUCGUUGGAUCAGCUUCGCAAGGAGUGUAUUCCGAUGAUAAGCAAGUCAACAUCAAUCGAUGAGUGUUGGAUAAGGGUUUCGAGAAUGUAGCAAUUUAAUUGUGUUAUAGCUUGGGACUUGGAUACAACGCUCUUGAUUGAGGAACGCGUAGUAAGCUUUGMGCGGGUUCGAAAGAAUCUCCUUACUAUGGAUGUUGGUGAAAUAACUUUAAGCGACCCGUCUUGAAACACGGACCAAGGAGUCUAACAUGCUUGCGAGUAUUAGGGUGUUGAAACCCGAAUGCGUAAUGAAAGUGAAUUUCAGAUGUGAUCCGCAAGGUGCAACAUCGGCCGGUCCUGAUUAUUUAUAUGACGGUACUGAGCAAGAGCAAGUAUGUUAGGACCCGAAAGAUGGUGAACUAUGCCUGGAUAGGG